CCCUUAAGUAAGUGACAGAUUACUAGUUCUACAAACGAUAAUGCAAAGUCGAUAUUUUAUCGAUAAAAUGAUUUUUCUCUACUUCUUAAGAAAUAAACGUCUAUCGAGUAUAUAUUGCUAAAGCCUGUGAGUUUUUUUUCUUGUGAUGUUAUUUUAAUUUAACUUAAACUACAUUACGCUAUGUUUUAUGCAAUAAAACAGUAAAGAGGUUUUCUAUAGGUGAAUUUUUACCUAUGUCAUUCGCGCGUUUGUCAAAUUGACUGAUGUGUAUGUGUACAUAGAGUGAGGUUAAUUUUGGGUUUAUUAUUGUUGAAUAGAUAAGUUUAUUUUGGCAGAGAAGAGAAAACGAGGAUAAACCUUUCUUACAGAAGAAAAAGACAAGCUAGUGAAAUUGCUGACAUCUCAUAGAGACACAAUAUUAAACAAAAAACGGAUGGGACCACGAACGAAGCCAAAAACAAAGCUUGGAUCCAGUUACAAAUAGUUUUAAUGCGAUAGGAACCGUUUACAGUUUCAGGUGGUGCGAGAAAUUGGAAAGACGUGUAAAAACAUGCUGCGCCCAGCCCACCUCAAAUUGAAUUGGUGCAGGAGGAUGAUGAUAAUGUUUGGUACAUCAUAUGAGGACUAAUAUUAAAAUAUUUGUUUACUA
rnacentral:lncRNA from 1 species